rnacentral:rRNA from 1 species
AAGUGCGAAUGCUGACAUAAGUAACGAUAAAACGGGUGAAAAACCCGUUCGCCGGAAGACCAAGGGUUCCUGUCCAACGUUAAUCGGGGCAGGGUGAGUCGGUCCCUAAGGCGAGGCUGAAAAGCGUAGUCGAUGGGAAACAGGUUAAUAUUCCUGUACUUGGUAAAGCUGCGAUGUGGGGACGGAGUAGGUUAGGUUAGCGUGCUGUUGGAUAUGCACGUUUAAGUUGGUAGGUGGGAAGUUUAGGCAAAUCCGGACUUCUAUUAAACACUGAGAGAUGAUGACGAGGCUCUACGGAGCUGAAGUAACUGAUACCACACUUCCAGGAAAAGCCACUAAGCGACAGGCUUUACUAAACCGUACUGAAAACCGACACAGGUGGUCAGGUAGAGAAUACUCAGGCGCUUGAGAGAACUCGGGUGAAGGAACUAGGCAAAAUAGCACCGUAACUUCGGGAGAAGGUGCGCCGGCGUAGAUUGUAAGGGCUAGCCCCUGAAGGUUGAACCGGUCGAAGAUACCAGCUGGCUGCAACUGUUUAUUAAAAACACAGCACUCUGCAAACACGAAAGUGGAGGUAUAGGGUGUGAUGCCUGCCCGGUGCUGGAAGGUUAAUUGAUGGUGUAAUCGAAAGAGAAGCACCUGAUCGAAGCCCCAGUAAACGGCGGCCGUAACUAUAACGGUCCUAAGGUAGCGAAAUUCCUUGUCGGGUAAGUUCCGACCUGCACGAAUGGCAUAAUGAUGGCCAGGCUGUCUCCACCCGAGACUCAGUGAAAUUGAAAUCGCCGUGAAGAUGCGGUGUACCCGCGGCUAGACGGAAAGACCCCGUGAACCUUUACUAUAGCUUGACACUGAACAUUGAAUUUUGAUGUGUAGGAUAGGUGGGAGACUAAGAAGUAGGAACGCCAGUUUCUAUGGAGUCAUCCUUGAAAUACCACCCUUUAACGUUUGAUGUUCUAACGAAGAUUACGAAACGUGGUCUCGGACAGUGUCUGGUGGGUAGUUUGACUGGGGCGGUCUCCUCCCAAAGCGUAACGGAGGAGCACGAAGGUUUGCUAAUCACGGUCGGACAUCGUGAGGUUAGUGCAAUGGUAUAAGCAAGCUUAACUGCGAGACAGACAAGUCGAGCAGGUACGAAAGUAGGUCAUAGUGAUCCGGUGGUUCUGAAUGGAAGGGCCAUCGCUCAACGGAUAAAAGGUACUCCGGGGAUAACAGGCUGAUACCGCCCAAGAGUUCAUAUCGACGGCGGUGUUUGGCACCUCGAUGUCGGCUCAUCACAUCCUGGGGCUGAAGUAGGUCCCAAGGGUAUGGCUGUUCGCCAUUUAAAGUGGUACGCGAGCUGGGUUUAGAACGUCGUGAGACAGUUCGGUCCCUAUCUGCCGUGGGCGUAGGAGAAUUGGUUGGGGCUGCUCCUAGUACGAGAGGACCGGAGUGGACGCACCACUGGUGUUCCGGUUGUGUCGCCAGACGCAUUGCCGGGUAGCUAAGUGCGGAAGAGAUAAGUGCUGAAAGCAUCUAAGCACGAAACUUGCCAAGAGAUGAGUUCUCCCUGUCUUUAAGACAGUAAGGGUUGUUUAAGACGAAGACGUAGAUAG